GGGGAGGGCCACAGCUCAGUGGCAGAGGAUAUGCCUUGCAAGCAGAGGGUCCCAGGUUCAAUCCUUGGCUUCUCCA